UCCUACGGGAGGCAGCAGUGGGGAAUAUUGCACAAUGGGGGAAACCCUGAUGCAGCGACGCCGCGUGGGUGACGAAGUAUUUCGGUAUGUAAAGCCCUAUCAGCAGGGAAGAAGAUGACAGUACCUGACUAAGAAGCCCCGGCUAACUACGUGCCAGCAGCCGCGGUAAUACGUAGGGGGCAAGCGUUAUCCGGAUUUACUGGGUGUAAAGGGAGCGUAGACGGUUCUGCAAGUCUGAAGUGAAAGCCCGUUGCUUAAC
rnacentral:rRNA from 1 species